AAGGCUCCUCCCCACCCAGGCUGCAGCUUCUCCGGAUGAACAUUACAGCAGAGAUCUGAUAGAAACACCCCAGAGCAGCCAGGAUCUUGUGCUCUGAGGUCAUGGGCGUGUUAGGUCACAUGUCCUGUCACAUGACAGUUUCCCUGUUGCUGGGGUAUGUGCGUCUCUGACCCAGACUUUACCCUGAGGUGGAUUACAGGUUACCAAGUAUGUGGUGUGAGGUAAUACUCCCGUAUACAUAUAAUUAUGUGACCUUCUGCUACGUUGACUACGCCUCUGCCUCAUCCUCUGGUACCUCGCCUUGCCCAGUUACCUGUGUGGUCGUGGAUGUCGCCUGCCGCAGCAAAUCCAUCCUUCUUUGCGGCGGGCUCUGGUGAAGACCAGCAGCACCUUAGACUCUGCUCCCCGAUACGGUUCGAGUCAUCAGCCACGUAGGUAGAGGAUCCACAUCCAGUUCGUGACAGCCCCGCAUACAGAAGACAAGAAAUUAUAAAGUUAUCAUCUGCCUGUUUAGAGAAGAGGUGACCCCUAUCCAACAGCACAUAGAGUCAUCAGUUCAACUGGGUGACCUCCAGCACCAGCAGCCUCAUUAGAUGACCAGGUGCAGUGAUCAGACUCCACCCCCUCUCUCUGCAAAGCCAGAGGAUUCAUGGGAAAUGUAGGCAGCAUUAGGAAAUUAUUUCAGUAAUGGAAUUGCAAUCAAUAUGGCUGAAAACCAUGCCUGCCACAUCAGGUAAAACAGGCUGCUUUUACAUUACGGCUGAUGAAUCUGGCUGGAAAAUUUCAAAACGGGAGCUCCUGUAUCCCAGUCGGACCGAUGCCAACCAGAGUCAGAUAGUUACUCUGGUCAAUCAAAAACGAAAAGGUCCGGUGCUUGAGUCGGUGAAUUCAAGAGGAUUUAUUUGCAGAUUAAAUACAGUAUAGAUGGUUAUUCUGAGCAGAUUCCUGUGACUUCCCACAAGCUGGUGCACGUACAAAGUAUAAAGAGCAGUAAUGUGAUGUAUACACGACUGCUACUCGCAUGACAGAUGAGCAAGGUGCUUAUGAGUGGAUGAUCCUCCAAAGUGAAAACAUCAGAUCUAUAGACGGUGAUAGAGUGUCAGCUGCUGUAAAUUUCACUCAUGUAUCUGGAGGACAAGGAAGAAACAUAGUCAGGAACCGGAACAACCAAAAUGUAACCCAAAUGUAGAAGGAACUGGAAGCCAGGAAGAAACAACCUUGAUCACCAGAUAUGUGCCAGUCAGAAGGCUAGAAAAUAUCCUGUGCCACUUGGAGGCCUCAUCUAGAGCAACUGUAGAAUCUGGAACUUGGACUAAUGUGACAUCAUCAUCAACUCAACUAUUAUUAUAUCAAACCACAAGGAUCAUCUCCAUGGUACACCAAACCUUUCACCCAAUGUGGUUACUACUCACACGCAAACACGUCAACCCUCCUUGUCAGCCGCGCUAAGCCCCUGUACACAUGACGCAACCACAACCUGGGCCACAGGAUCUUCUACAAACCUUCCUAAGUAUUGUCUGAUGUCUCCUCCAAAUCUCUAGUGGUGAAGACACCACAGCUCCGUACUGUAGUACAAAGUGUUAGACCUCAGGGCUGUGUGAUACAUCCUGCUGUGCAGGUGUAUCUAAGCGUAUUGUGUGUGGACUGUCCGCUGAGCUGCUGUGUCUAAGCCUAUCAUGUGUUAUACUCAAUGCUGUGUAUCUAAGCCUAUCAUAUACUGUAUGAUACUGUAUGGCCAGCCACUAUCUCUAAGUUUAUCACGUGUGAAACCAUCUGUUUUGUAUCUAAGCCCUUAGUGUGAUAUUGUUUGGUAAACCGCUGCAUCGAAGCCUGUCCAUGUGUACUAAUGACUGCAGAGGUGUCGUAUCUAAACCUUGUGAUACUGUCUGCUGAGAUGCUGCAUCAACGUUUGCCAUGUGUUAUACUGUGUUGUGUACAUAAGCCUUUAUUGUGAUACUGUCAGCUGAACUGCUGUACCUAAGCCAGACAUUUAAUGAAUCACUGUAUCUAAGCCUAUUGUGGUGGCCCAGUACAGGAGUUGCACCCCUGUACCCUUGUUGCCCUGUCAGGCAGACUCCAUUCGGUGACCCCUGAGCCCCCCUUCACCUAUGUGCCCUAACUAGUUAAGCAGUGCCUAUGUUAUGUAUUGUAAUGUACAUAUAUUGUUAUACACCUUUAAGUAAUGUUGCUAUGUGUUGUAACCAAGGAAGGUAUCAGUGACCUACAGGGUGACCUAUGGGACCCCUCCAGAUUCUCCCCCAUAUAAGCCCUGGGUGAUACAUCCUGCUGUGCAGGUGUAUCUAAGCGUAUUGUGUGUGGACUGUCCACUGAGCUGUCUCUUGUGCUCUUCUCUACC